rnacentral:piRNA from 1 species
UGUAUCCUUCCGUCAUUGUGC